rnacentral:rRNA from 1 species
CCUACGGGAGGCAGCAGUGGGGAAUUUUGGACAAUGGGCGCAAGCCUGAUCCAGCAAUGCCGCGUGAGUGAAGAAGGCCUUCGGGUUGUAAAGCUCUUUUGUCAGGGAAGAAAAGGGAUUGGCUAAUAUCUGGUCCUCAUGACGGUACCUGAAGAAUAAGCACCGGCUAACUACGUGCCAGCAGCCGCGGUAAUACGUAGGGUGCAAGCGUUAAUCGGAAUUACUGGGCGUAAAGCGUGCGCAGGCGGUUUUGUAAGACUGUCGUGAAAUCCCCGGGCUUAACCUGGGAAUGGCGAUGGUGACUGCAAGGCUAGAGUUUGGCAGAGGGGGGUAGAAUUCCACGUGUAGCAGUGAAAUGCGUAGAUAUGUGGAGGAACACCGAUGGCGAAGGCAGCCCCCUGGGUCAAAACUGACGCUCAUGCACGAAAGCGUGGGGAGCAAACAGGAUUAGAUACCCUGGUAGUCCACGCCCUAAACGAUGUCUACUAGUUGUCGGGUCUUAAUUGACUUGGUAACGCAGCUAACGCGUGAAGUAGACCGCCUGGGGAGUACGGUCGCAAGNUUAAAACGUUAAGGAAUUGACGG